CUGCCCUCUGGGCCCUUAUCUGGCUCGGCCUGGGCAUCUUCUUGGAGAACGUAUCCUCAAAAGACUGUGUGGUGCGGUAUCCAGGACUUUUACUUUGAGGAAAUUAGAGUGUUUCAAGCAGGCACACUCCUUGAAUACAUUAGCAUGGAAUAAUAAGAUAGGACCUCGGUUCUAUUUUGUUGGUUUCUAGAGCUGAGGUAAUGAUUAAUAGGGAUAGUUGGGGGCAUUCGUAUUUAACUGUCAGAGGUGAAAUUCUUGGAUUUGUUAAAGAC
rnacentral:rRNA from 1 species